CUUCAUGGCAGUUGUGCGUGGGGCACAUUCGUGUGCGCCGGGAACCUGAGCCUCGGUCUGUCAACCUACGUACAGCUGCCUCCAUU
rnacentral:antisense_RNA from 1 species